UGCCUUACUUCAGCACAGAGAAAUCGUCUCAGAGUUGCCAUUGAUAUAACCAGUGCCUUGUUAACAGAUGUGACCUGAUCUUUGCAGGGCCUGUCUCAGAUACUUACCUGUAUAUACCUGUGGGAGGAAGAAGAAAAAGGUGUGUCCACCUAGAAUAAUUUGUUUGCUGGAAGUUCUGUUGUUGGCAGAAAAUGGAAGCUACAAACUAGUGUGGUUAUCAGCAGGGAAUGGGAUCAAAGUUUCAGUCCAACAAGUCCAGGCAACUUUCAGCUUGAAGGCCAAGGUGUUACUACUUAGAAUUUAGGGCACAGAAGGCUGGUGUGUGUCGGCAGUGAUAUUUGGGAGAAUGAGUCUGUUUGGGAGACACUUUAGGUCAUACCAGCAGCUGCUGACAUAUGAACCUCGCAGAUGAAGAUGCCAUAGCAUGGCUAUUUCUCGACUGCACUGCUGAAGUAGUUUAAGAACAUCAACCAGACUGCUGUGUUGAGAAGAAUACAGACACUGCAUUCAGAUUCAGUGAGAAAGAGUGCUUUGAUCAACUAAUAUUUUCUGCAGUGGUCCAUCCAUGUGUGUUGGGUUUUACUGUUCCUGGCUUAAGCAUUCUCUACAACCAUGAGCUUGCAACUAAAAUGCUGAGAAAUGUAUGGCUACCAUAAAGCCAGUUUAAAUCUAUAUGCCAAAAGGCCUUAUUUAAA
rnacentral:lncRNA from 1 species